GUCCCUGUAGCGCAGUGGAUAGCGCUUGGACUUCCUAGUCAAGGUCCCGGUUCCGAAUCCCGACAGGGAUG